rnacentral:tRNA from 1 species
ACCACUUUCAAAGGAUACCAGACAUCCACUAAUUUU